rnacentral:lncRNA from 1 species
CAGCAGAUUUCAAGUACUGUGGAGUUGGUGUCAGCUAACCAGCCCAUAUAUCAUGAGGCUGACGCAUGCAGUCAAGGAAGCUGAAAAUCUGACAGUGCUUCUGCAGUCCAUGCCAAGAACAGAGCCUUACUCCAUGGAAGGUUACACGAGCUGUGAUGUAUCUGAAGAAGUCAGGGAAGGCAGAAACCCCACUAGGACACGUCAGUCCCAGUUCUUCCCAGUGCUGAUGAUUGUUAUGGUGAGGUCCAGCAUUUACGCCAGAGCUGAUGUCACAGUUAAUCUCCUGGCUGCAGCAAAGUGAGGCAUCAUACGCUU